GACGAACGCUGGCGGCGUGCUUAACACAUGCAAGUCGAACGAUGAAGCCGGAGCUUGCUCUGGUGAAUUAGUGGCGAACGGGUGAGUAACACGUGAGUAACCUGCACUUGACUCUGGGAUAACUGCGGGAAACUGUAGCUAAUACCGGAUACGACCCUCGGAGGAAUCUACUGGGGGUGGAAAGAAUUUCGGUCAAGGAUGGACUCGCGGCCUAUCAGCUAGUUGGUGAGGUAAAGGGUCACCAAGGCGACGACGGGUAGCCGGCCUGGGAGGGUGACCGGCCACACUGGGACUGAGACACGGCCCAGACUCCUACGGGAGGCAGCAGUGGGGAAUAUUGCACAAUGGGCGCAAGCCUGAUGCAGCAACGCCGCGUGAGGGAUGACGGCCUUCGGGUUGUAAACCUCUUUUAACAGGGAAGAAGCGAAAGUGACGGUACCUGCAGAAAAAGCACCGGCUAACUACGUGCCAGCCGCCGCCGUAA
rnacentral:rRNA from 1 species